rnacentral:rRNA from 1 species
UGGCGGCGUGCCUAAUACAUGCAAGUCGAGCGGACAGAUGGGAGCUUGCUCCCUGAUGUUAGCGGCGGACGGGUGAGUAACACGUGGGUAACCUGCCUGUAAGACUGGGAUAACUCCGGGAAACCGGGGCUAAUACCGGAUGGUUGUUUGAACCGCAUGGUUCAAACAUAAAAGGUGGCUUCGGCUACCACUUACAGAUGGACCCGCGGCGCAUUAGCUAGUUGGUGAGGUAACGGCUCACCAAGGCAACGAUGCGUAGCCGACCUGAGAGGGUGAUCGGCCACACUGGGACUGAGACACGGCCCAGACUCCUACGGGAGGCAGCAGUAGGGAAUCUUCCGCAAUGGACGAAAGUCUGACGGAGCAACGCCGCGUGAGUGAUGAAGGUUUUCGGAUCGUAAAGCUCUGUUGUUAGGGAAGAACAAGUACCGUUCGAAUAGGGCGGUACCUUGACGGUACCUAACCAGAAAGCCACGGCUAACUACGUGCCAGCAGCCGCGGUAAUACGUAGGUGGCAAGCGUUGUCCGGAAUUAUUGGGCGUAAAGGGCUCGCAGGCGGUUUCUUAAGUCUGAUGUGAAAGCCCCCGGCUCAACCGGGGAGGGUCAUUGGAAACUGGGGAACUUGAGUGCAGAAGAGGAGAGUGGAAUUCCACGUGUAGCGGUGAAAUGCGUAGAGAUGUGGAGGAACACCAGUGGCGAAGGCGACUCUCUGGUCUGUAACUGACGCUGAGGAGCGAAAGCGUGGGGAGCGAACAGGAUUAGAUACCCUGGUAGUCCACGCCGUAAACGAUGAGUGCUAAGUGUUAGGGGGUUUCCGCCCCUUAGUGCUGCAGCUAACG